rnacentral:rRNA from 1 species
CCUACGGGUGCUGCAGUGGGGAAUAUUGCACAAUGGGCGCAAGCCUGAUGCAGCCGUGCCGCGUGUGUGAAGAAGGCCUUCGGGUUGUAAAGCACUUUCAGCGGGGAGGAAGGCGGUGAGGUUAAUAACCUCAUCGAUUGACGUUACCCGCAGAAGAAGCACCGGCUAACUCCGUGCCAGCAGCCGCGGUAAUACGGAGGGUGCAAGCGUUAAUCGGAAUUACUGGGCGUAAAGCGCACGCAGGCGGUCUGUCAAGUCGGAUGUGAAAUCCCCGGGCUCAACCUGGGAACUGCAUUCGAAACUGGCAGGCUAGAGUCUUGUAGAGGGGGGUAGAAUUCCAGGUGUAGCGGUGAAAUGCGUAGAGAUCUGGAGGAAUACCGGUGGCGAAGGCGGCCCCCUGGACAAAGACUGACGCUCAGGUGCGAAAGCGUGGGGAGCAAACAGGAUUAGAUACCCGUGUAGUC